AGAGUUUGAUCAUGGCUCAGAUUGAACGCUGGCGGCAGGCCUAACACAUGCAAGUCGAACGGUAACAGGAAGAAGCUUGCUUCUUUGCUGACGAGUGGCGGACGGGUGAGUAAUGUCUGGGAAACUGCCUGAUGGAGGGGGAUAACUACUGGAAACGGUAGCUAAUACCGCAUAACGUCGCAAGACCAAAGAGGGGGACCUUCGGGCCUCUUGCCAUCGGAUGUGCCCAGAUGGGAUUAGCUAGUAGGUGGGGUAACGGCUCACCUAGGCGACGAUCCCUAGCUGGUCUGAGAGGAUGACCAGCCACACUGGAACUGAGACACGGUCCAGACUCCUACGGGAGGCAGCAGUGGGGAAUAUUGCACAAUGGGCGCAAGCCUGAUGCAGCCAUGCCGCGUGUAUGAAGAAGGCCUUCGGGUUGUAAAGUACUUUCAGCGGGGAGGAAGGGAGUAAAGUUAAUACCUUUGCUCAUUGACGUUACCCGCAGAAGAAGCACCGGCUAACUCCGUGCCAGCAGCCGCGGUAAUACGGAGGGUGCAAGCGUUAAUCGGAAUUACUGGGCGUAAAGCGCACGCAGGCGGUUUGUUAAGUCAGAUGUGAAAUCCCCGGGCUCAACCUGGGAACUGCAUCUGAUACUGGCAAGCUUGAGUCUCGUAGAGGGGGGUAGAAUUCCAGGUGUAGCGGUGAAAUGCGUAGAGAUCUGGAGGAAUACCGGUGGCGAAGGCGGCCCCCUGGACGAAGACUGACGCUCAGGUGCGAAAGCGUGGGGAGCAAACAGGAUUAGAUACCCUGGUAGUCCACGCCGUAAACGAUGUCGACUUGGAGGUUGUGCCCUUGAGGCGUGGCUUCCGGAGCUAACGCGUUAAGUCGACCGCCUGGGGAGUACGGCCGCAAGGUUAAAACUCAAAUGAAUUGACGGGGGCCCGCACAAGCGGUGGAGCAUGUGGUUUAAUUCGAUGCAACGCGAAGAACCUUACCUGGUCUUGACAUCCACAGAACUUUCCAGAGAUGGAUUGGUGCCUUCGGGAACUGUGAGACAGGUGCUGCAUGGCUGUCGUCAGCUCGUGUUGUGAAAUGUUGGGUUAAGUCCCGCAACGAGCGCAACCCUUAUCCUUUGUUGCCAGCGGUCCGGCCGGGAACUCAAAGGAGACUGCCAGUGAUAAACUGGAGGAAGGUGGGGAUGACGU
rnacentral:rRNA from 1 species